UAGCAUAUCAAUAAGCGGAGGAAAAGAAACCAACAGGGAUUGCCCUAGUAACGGCGAGUGAAGCGGCAACAGCUCAAAUUUGAAAUCUGGCUCUUUCAGAGUCCGAGUUGUAAUUUGCAGAGGGCGCUUUGGCUUUGGCAGCGGUCCAAGUUCCUUGGAACAGGACGUCACAGAGGGUGAGAAUCCCGUACGUGGUCGCUAGCUAUUGCCGUGUAAAGCCCCUUCGACGAGUCGAGUUGUUUGGGAAUGCAGCUCUAAAUGGGAGGUAAAUUUCUUCUAAAGCUAAAUAUUGGCCAGAGACCGAUAGCGCACAAGUAGAGUGAUCGAAAGAUGAAAAGCACUUUGGAAAGAGAGUCAAACAGCACGUGAAAUUGUUGAAAGGGAAGCGCUUGCAGCCAGACUUGCUUGCAGUUGCUCAUCCGGGCUUUUGCCCGGUGCACUCUUCUGCAGGCAGGCCAGCAUCAGUUUGGGCGGUGGGAUAAAGGUCUCUGUCACGUACCUUCCUUCGGGUUGGCCUUAUAGGGGAGACGCCAUACCACCAGCCUGGACUGAGGUCCGCGCAUCUGCUAGGAUGCUGGCGUAAUGGCUGUAAGCGGCCCGUCUUGAAACACGGACCAAGGAGUCUAACAUCUAUGCGAGUGUUUGGGUGUCAAGCCCGAGCGCGUAAUGAAAGUGAACGGAGGUGGGAACCCGCAAGGGUGCACCAUCGACCGAUCCUGAAGUUUACGGAAGGAUUUGAGUAAGAGCAUGGCUGUUGGGACCCGAAAGAUGGUGAACUAUGCUUGAAUAGGGUGAAGCCAGAGGAAACUCUGGUGGAGGCUCGCAGCGGUUCUGACGUGCAAAUCGAUCGUCAAAUUUGGGCAUAGGGGCGAAAGACUAAUCGAACUAUCUAGUAGCUGGUUCCUGCCGAAG
rnacentral:rRNA from 1 species